rnacentral:pre_miRNA from 1 species
CAGCUACUCCCUCCGUCCGGAAAUACUUGUCAGAGAAAUGAAUGUAUCUAGAUGCAUUUUAGUUCUAGAUACAUCCAUUUUGUACAUUUCUAUGACAAGUAAUUCCGGACGGAGGGUGUACUUA